GCCUGUGAGAAGACAGCUCAGUCGGCAGAGCAUGAGGCUCUGAAUCUCAAGGUUGUGGGUUCGAGCCCCACAUUGGACA